AGAGCGAACGCUGGCGGCAGGCCUAACACAUGCAAGUCGAGCGCCCCGCAAGGGGAGCGGCAGACGGGAGAGUAACACGUGGGAACGUACCCUUCAGUUCGGAACAACCCAGGGAAACUUGGGCUAAUACCGAAUACGUCCGUAAGGAGAAAGAUUUAUCGCUGAAGGAUCGGCCCGCGUCUGAUUAGCUUGUUGGUGAGGUAACGGCUCACCAAGGCUACGAUCAGUAGCUGGUCUGAGAGGAUGAUCAGCCUCACUGGGACUGAGACACGGCCCAGACUCCUACGGGAGGCAGCAGUGGGGAAUAUUGGACAAUGGGCGCAAGCCUGAUCCAGCCAUGCCGCGUGGAUGAUGAAGGCCUUAGGGUUGUAAAGUCCUUUCGACGGGAGGAUAAUGACGGUACCGUAGAAGAAGACCCGGCUAACUUACGCGCCAGCAGCCGC
rnacentral:rRNA from 1 species